UUAAGUGCUAUAUGAAGGUAACUGGACUUGCUUGAGGUACUGGAACACUUUUCACCUUAAAGGGUUUCUUCAGUUCUGUCCACUUGCCUUUGUAAAGCACUUGCAAAUACCAUGACCCGGAUGACUGGAUGAGAUGCUUCAAAGAAAAGUAAGGUGUCAUUUUUAUUUUAAAUUCUGUUGUUUCAGCUUUUUUGUUUCACCAUGCCUGUGCUGUCUCGGUCCACGCUGUCUAUGUUUGUCUGUCUUUCUUUGUCUCUAGCUUUGGUUGGGUCUAUCUUUGUCUUUGUUUCUCCAUCUCUAGCUUGUCUCUUUUGGCUGUUUCUCAUUGUCUGUGUCUGUCUAUCUUUUCCUUCCAUGAUGCGCCUUUAGUACUAUGUACCACCUAAACUUCAGGGUCACAUAUGCAGUCUAUAAGUAUGAAGUCAGGCAUUUUGAUAGUCUGGGGUUUCUGUGAUUGCUGGAGAAAAUUCUGAUUGGUUUCAGGUUUUCCUCUUUGCUCACCUUGUACUUUCAGAGUUAGGUCAUUCAUAGUUUCAUUCCAAAUUGAUAUAAAGACCAAUUGGUGAUGUUUUGAAUAUUUCCUUUAUUGCAUUUUAGAAUAGUGUUUUAUUUGCUACUCCUAUUUACUAUAUCACCAGUAGUAAUAGUGGUGUAGUGUAGUAGUGUAGUUGUGUUGCUGUCAAGAUCAUCACUACCAAAGUUUUGACAUCAGUUUUUUGUUUACUGUACUUCACAUUUAAUUGGAUUUUGAAGUUAAAGGUUGGCUUGUCUCACUCUGCCAAGUCUAAUUUCAACUGGAGUCUCAAGUAGAACCUUUUGCGUUCAAGUAGGUCUGGCGCGGUAUAGUUUCGUAUCCGUGUUUAUUUGUGCGUCAUGUUGGGAGGCCUCCCGGCAGGGGAAUUUUAUCCCACCCCUGCAAAUCGUUACAUUUCUAGGAUACGGUAGCAUCAAUCGCUGACGAGAACUGCGGCAUCAAUGGACUCAGGAUAUUUUGGCCAUUUCCGUAUGUACAUGGGAUUGUCCUUGGAACUGUUUAUUGCUUGACAGUUACUGGGCAGUAGCGCGUUUGGGUUCUCUGGGAGAGAGUAAACCUGGCAGAAAGAGACAACUCAGAUACCUCCUACAAGGAUUCUUAAGAAGCUACUGGACACCCAAUUUAGGUGUAUGUGUUUAAUUUUCAAUCUAUUGGUGAUGAGGUUGACAGUAACGAUAGCUAUGAAAACCAAACUGAUGUGUCAAGUGUAACAGUUUAUCACCAUAUUUUACAGUUUGCUAUACUGAGUUACCUGGUGUUGACAUACUUGAAAUGCAAACUUCAUACAGGUGCUGUCUUGAAGUAGAAACAGCAUAGAAUUAGAGCCAGAUGCUGCAGGGACAGUACUUUUGUUAGAAGUAUUGCCCUUGUUAACAGGGGUGAAAAUUGACAGCUUAUAUGAGGUUGGAAUUGUCUGAAAUAAGAUUUCCAUUGUGGGAGGCUCUACCUCCUAGGAUUUCCUUUUGUCGAAUUUCUUUCUUUCUUUGACUGCUGCUCAUGUCACGCCUUCAGAGGGAGCCAUUUCCUACUUUGGCAUCAUUGUUUUUACAUGUUUGGUAAUAUGUGGCAGUAGCCAAUUGACAAAGCAGACGGCAUGAAAUGCUUAACCUUGAUUUGUCCAAAUUCAACAGACUCCUCUUCUUACUCGUAAGUUAGUAUCUACACAUUUGAUUUCUGACAUAGUUGGACAGCACAAUUCCACAGUGAGAUCCUAAGGUCUCUCUUUGUGCACACGUCCUGGACAGAACCAGCAACAGUUGGAACAAACCAUAUUUUACAUAUUAAACAUAUUUAUAUCAAAAUUUGGCAGUCAUAAUCAGGGAUGAGCUAGAAUGUCUUAACACUACAGAGAACAAGGUCAACAGAGUCGACUCGUAUCACAUAAGAAGGUAAGGCUUUUCUCCUUCCCCUUCUUCUCUGUGUGUGAGGAAUUCUGUGCUUUAAGUAAAAUUAUUGGUAGACCCUGUUGCUGAUUGUUUUGAAGUUGUACUUUUAAUGUAUAAGUGACUUUAGGGUAUUUAAGAAAUUGGGGGGAAAUAACUAGCCUUACAAGUAAGCAUAUAGACCAAUGCACCCCCUACUGAGUUUUGUGUGCUGUGGUUGUGCAGUUUCCAAAACCAGACAAGGAUCCAUCUGCUUUUGUGAAUCCGCUGACCAUGGUAUGCUCUUAAGACCUUAUUCCAAGAUGUGUGCAACAGAUAACUGCAUAACAGCAAUAUAAAAGUGUAUAUCCAAGAAAGCUUGUUAAAUAUUACCAUGUGUAGAUAAUGUGAAGAGUCUGAAGCAUUUGGGUAAAUUUAGGGCCAAGCCUUUCAAGUAGUCUGCUUUGUCAGUAGUCUACAACCACAUCUUACAAAGGAUGUAAAAACAAUGCUGAAUUAGGAAAUGGCUCCCUUUCAUAGAUGUGACAACAGCAGCAGUGAAUGCUGGAAAGCUGCAUGAAGGGACAAUGAGACCUGGGGGAAAAUGUGGUGUGAUUAUUAGGGUUAAUGUAGAGAGAGAAGCUUUAGGCAUGCUACAGAAUCCAGAGCUGAGGAACUUUUUCUAGAGAACUGGGUAAUAGCUGUUUACUGUUUAACAAACCAGGACACUGUAUUAAGCUUUGUCUCCAAAUAGCUCGCCAAGCUGGCCAAUCAUGGUCUGAAGUGUUAUUCAGAUAGUUGAAUCUGGGAAGUUACAGAUGAUAGGCAACACAGACACCUGUUAGCCAAUGUUGGAAACGUGUGGGUGGAGGGAGUUGAAAUGCAGAUUAGUCUGUGCAUUUAGAUUCAAGAUCUAGGUAAUAUUAUGGCAUUGUUUCUGGUUAAUGUCAGAGCCAAUGGAUAAGGAUGGUUUUAGCCCAUUGUGGCAGGUUUCAAUUGGCCCAGUAUGACCCAGGCAGUGGACAUGAUGGAAUUUUCUCCAGUAUUCACAAGGAGGCCCCAGGAGAGACACCAAAAUCUCCUCUGUAGCAAAAAGGUUAGCUGUGGUACUCACACCCUUGUUUAAUUCUGACAAUUUGGUCCUGUCACAUACUUCACAGUAUCAGCAGCUGAUAUUACCCUAAUGUGCUUUGACUAUAUGGCCACAAAUUUAGUAUACUGCAGUACAAUUGGAAUGUCUAAACAAAAUAACUUUUGUACCUGCAGAAUUUGGUUACUCCACUCAAAGAAAUCAGAGGCAUUAUUAGAUUUAAUAAAGUACAGGAAAAGGAAUACACUUCAUUGUAUUUUUUUUUUUGUUAGUUAUAGGUUGCCCAAGCCAUAUUGUGAUUGAGGUUGCAGUGGUUUCAGCAGUUUCCUGUGGCUCCAGAAAAAUCAACGUGGGAUGCUGUGACCCAGCGAAGUUGUGUCCUGGACAGCUGUGAAGGAGGCAAAGAUGAACCAGACCCUCCCUGAUGAUGAUGAUGCUGAUGAUGCUGAUGCUGCUGUUGCUGUUGUUCCUGUUCCAUGGGAUUGAUGUCUUCAGAUGUCCAACCUUGAGGAAGCCUGGGAUGUUGGGGCCUGACCUGAGCUCACCAAACCCUGCACACAGCCUUGACCUCCAGACCCCACCUCUGAGUACUGCAAUAUGCCACAAACCUGGCAAACCUCUGCAAAGUGGUCUGUCACCUUUUGCACAGCUCAGUUACUGAUUAAACCCAAACUAUGGCCAUUAAUGAACAAUGUUCAUGUUAAUAAGUGUUAAUGUAUACAUGUGUACACAUGAUCAAGAUUGUUGAUAUCUGUAUUUUUGUUCUUCUGCCAUAGGUAUUUAUGGAAAUGUAUUUUUCUGAUAACUGAAUUCCCCUGUGCUGUCAAAUUAGUUUUUCCCCAUGAUAAACACUACAGAAGCCAAGCACUCAACAAAUGGUUCAACAGACUCAUCUUCACACUCUCCACAAGUCAGUCUAUCUAUUUGAUUUUUAACAUAGUUAAACAGCAUGUCUUCAGAACUAGUUUUAAGACCCCUACAUCCUCACAGAAUCUAACAUUUGAGGCAAACUUUUGCUAAUUUUUUUCCAAAUUUGGUAAAGAGCUAUGACAUCUAAACACUACAGAGAACAAGGUCAACAGAGUCGACUCGUAUUUCAUAAGAAGGCAAGGCUUUUCUCCUUCCCCUUCUUCUCUGUGUGUGAGGAAGUCUGUGCUGUAAGUAGUUAUUGCAAAUUUUAGACCCUGUUGCUGAUUCUGUCUUAAAGUUGUACUUGUAAUGUUUAAGUGAUUUUUAGAGGUAUUUAAGAAAUUGGAACAAACCUAGCCCUAUGAGUAAGCGUAUAGACUGAGUUGUGUACUGUGGUUGUGCAGUUUCCAAAACCAGACAAGGAUCCCUCUGGUUUUGUGAAUCAGCUGACCAUGGUAUGCUAUUGUUAUCUUACUCCAAAACACAUAAUUAAUGUUGACAGCAAACAAACAGUAGUUAUCCCAGAUCAAGAUAUUGGCAUGAUGAAUAUGGCAAGGAUAACUGCAUAAGGGCAAUAUAAAACCUAGUUAAUGCAUGUGCAUGAAAGAAAGCAUGCUUAACAUUACUACUUGUAGAUGGUGUGAAGACUCUGGGUCAACCAUUUCAAGUUGUUUGCUUUAAUGGUCUACUCACAUCUUACAAAGCACAUUGAAAAUAAUGCUGAAUUAGGAACCACUUCCUUUGCAGAUGUGACAGCAGCCUUGUACAUGUACAAAUCUAUUGUAUCCAUUAGUCCUGUUUUAUUCCUUUUUUUCUUUCUGCUGUGUACUUAUUUAUCAAAAUGUAUUUUUUGUUAACUACAUUCCCCUGUGCUGUCAAAUUUGAUUUUCCCUUGCGGGGAUCAAUACACAGAACAGAUCACAGCACAGAAUACUCAAAACAACACUAACACACUACUCCGACACUCAACAGGACGAGACACUUGACACACAAGACACUCUAUACAACACAAACUGGACACUUAUCUUGGGAAAGAGCAAACAAAACAAAUUUUGGAUACUGUUGCCAAAUUUGUACUGAUGUUAAAUGGAUAUUCAGCUCAUAGAUAAUGUAUAAUGACUGCAUUUAAAAUCUGUACUGUUAUCUAUAUUACAUGUAUGCUCCUGUGUUUGAUACUAAGUAAAAUCA